GAAAUUCCUCCCACAGUUUUUGUUUUAAAUUAAUAUGCUUCUCUUUUAUUCUGAGUUUUCCUAAUACUGUUAGGUGAUCUGCAGGCAGUGAUGUCCAAACAUUUCACGAGGCUGUGGAGCAGCUUUUUAACAGAGGAAAAAGCAAGAGGCUGCAAGUGUUUCUGCAUCCAGAGGAGUCGCCCUCUGCUGGUCUUUCUGUGGGGACUGGUUGUGUGACAAUCACCACAGGAGGAAGGACAGGACACACACAGGAAGACGAAAAUCCAACACCUAAAUCAUUAUUUCACAGGAUUGAUGGUGGUCAUACACAAGAAGGAAGCAAGGAUAAAGUACAUACCAGAGAUGGUUGUCUGGGACGAAUCUCAGAAGAUCAGCAGUUUCUGAAAUACAGCACCAACAACCACGCCCCAUUCAAAGUCACCUAAAUCACUUUUUUCCCCACUUUUUCAUCCCCAGUUUGGACUCCAGCAGCUCAUCCUAAUCAUGUCCAUGGAGUUGUCAUUUGAGCCAUGUGAUUGGCUAAUUACAUAAUUGUGUUAAUGAAGAGUUGAACUGGUGUACCUAUCAAAGCUGCCAUCAUGGACAUGGAUCAUUGUUUUGGGUUGGCUAACUCGCUCUCUGAGUGCUUCCUCUUCCUCCCUCUCUACUCUGUUAUACGCUUGUUCACACUGUCAUCUCACAGAGCCUCAAACGCUCCAAACGUGCACUUAGUGAGUUGUCGACUUCACUAAUUCACACAAUUGCUUUCAGCAAAAGGCAAGCUUCUGGGUUACCCAUCCCCAAUAAUUAGAUUAAAUACUUAAGAAACAGACUGACACAAAAUGUACACAAACACCCACUUUAAUCUAAGACUUUUUCAAGAAAACAACACUGCUUUUCUUUGAUGAGGAAUGAAUGUGUAUACAGUCUGGUAAUGACAACUGUAAGUGUAGCCACGCCCCUUAUGCCCUAAUGACGUUUUUUUUAAACAUACCAAGCUAUAAAACGUCCUCAAAUUCAGAUACCUCCACAUCUGUAGGAUGAAAAAUGAAGAGUUAAUAGCCUCUUUGAAGAAUUUCCUGUCAUGUCCAGAAUUAGCCAGUGUGGUUUUAUCAGUUUUAUCUUUUAUCUGAUUUGCAAACCCUCAUCUGUGAUUGGCCCUGCAACCCAAGCGCUAAUCAAACGUUUGGGCUCUUUGCUGCACUGCAUCCUGAUUACAGAGGCCUCUGUGCUGGCUGUGAUUGAAUUUGUCCACCUUCUGUGCGUCAUGGCGCCUCGGCCUAACCAUCCCUUGCUGACGUAUUACAGUACCUGUGCUUCCUGAUACAAAAUACAGCAAAAAACCCACCAAAUUAAGUCAAAUCUCUUGUCAUUCUCACACCCUGAAAAGCCACCAAGUGGGCUGGAUUUGAUUAUUCGUCAUGGUGGUUAGAACAAGGAUGGUGAGGACUCUUUGCCUCUUUUAAAUCUGCAGGAGAGAGCAAUCACAGAGGACAGAUUACAUUUUCAUACCUGAUACAGAUCAGAAAAGUCUGAGCUGAGCUGUGAAAUUCAGCAUAAAUUUCCUCUGCUGGAAGAGGAUUUAGAAACAGCCAGCAGACCAGCCUGCAGUGUGUAAAACUGAAAUCAAACACUAAAAUAUGAUCCUCCGAGAUCCAGAGAUUUGGAUGAGGGAGAAAGAGGAGAAUACACUUCAGAUA